rnacentral:ribozyme from 1 species
CUCAAGGACAGAAAGAGAAAGAGAAAAGAUGAAGAGGGGAGGAAGAGUUAGCCUUCUUCUUCUUCUCUUUCUUUCUCUUUUCUCUCUUU